GAACAGUGCAGGUUCGCCGAGAUAAGUGGGAACUGCAGAUGCCGGAGACUCCGAGAUAACAAGGUGUAGAGCUGGAUGAAAUUAACAGGCGAAGCAGGAAAGCCUACGUUUUGUGCCUGGCCCCUUCGCUGAGACUAAGGUUUGUGCAAUUGAGAUACCGGCAAUCGUUGCCAAAGCCCUGUUGCCUGUGGAAAAUGUGGUGUUCAACUUUCGUGUGCUGCUGCAGUUCAUAUGAUGAAGGUGAUCCCACAAUGCGGUCGUUUGAGAAGUUACAGAUCAUUCAUCUAGCGAUACUGAAGAGCUGAUGGUGUAUGUCCAAAUCAACAAACUGAUAUUAUAAGUGGACUUUCAGGUGGGAAACUCAAUAAUUGUAACACCAAACUCUGACAGAAUUACUCAAUUCAUCAACAUCUGGAUAUUCGCAUUGUGUAUUUCCACAAUUUUACUUCUGCACUGUUCUUAACAUUAUGAUCCCUCUGAAAGACUGAGUUACAAUGCCUGCCCUUCCUCCCUGGCUCUCCCACCUCUCUUUCAGCAGUUUUGUGCAAAUACUGACUGGAUCCCUUACCUGGAGGAUAUUUAUUUGAAUUUGUUCUAACGAUGAUCCAGCAUAUUUCCCAAGCAUCGCUCCAUAAAUGUCCAGAGGAUUUCUCGAUUUCACAAUCUGUGGUUGUUCUUCUGGCUCUUCACUCACUGCACUUGCUUUCUGUUUGAAAGCUUAGUCUGCAAUUGGAGAAUUCAAACAGGUCCACAUCCAGGUCUGACAGUCACUUUGUUUAUCACAAACCAGUGACCUCAGGAUUUUGAACAUUGAAGGAAAAAGCAGCAUUCACACUGGGGAGAAAUGCACAUGGUGUGUAAAGAGUCUGUGAAGAUUGAUCUGAAAUGUCCGAACACCAGCGCAGUAACACUGGGGAGACACUGUGGAAAUGUGCAGUUGCAGGAUCGAAUUUUUUAAUCCAUCCCAGCUAGAAACUGACCACCAGAGUCACACUGGAGAGAGACCAUUCACCUGCUCUGAUUGUGUAACGGGAUUCACUCAGUCCUCUAACCUGCUUAAACACCAGUGAGUUCGCACUGUAGAGAAACCAUUUACAUGCUUGAAAUGUGGGAAAGCAUUCACUCGCACAUAUCAACCGCUGAUGCACGAGUGAAUUCACACUGGAGAGAGACCGUUGGCCUGUUCUGCGUGAGGGAAAGGCUUUGCUGACUCGCAUUGACCGCUGAUCCACCAGCGACUUCACUUUGGGGAGUGACCAUUCAUCUGCUCCCAGUGUGGGAAGGGAUUCACUUGCUCACCUAACAUACAGAGCGUUCACACUGGGGAGGAACCAUUCACCUGCUCUAAAUGUGAGAAAGCAUUCACUUGGUCAUCCUACCUGCUUGUGUUCCAGCAGGUUCACACUGGGAGAACCCAUUCAUGAGCUCUGAGUGGGGGAAAGCAUUCACUCAGUUAUCCAAACUGUUAACACACCAGUGAGUUCACAAAGAAGCACAGUUGAAGGAUUUUGCUGUCACUCUCACUAUCAAGUGAACCAUGGUUUUGGGCUGUUUGUACUGAUGUUACAGAUCCCUGCUCAAUUAAAGGUACAGGUAUUGUGGAUAAAAUGUUAAUAUCAGUUGUGUAUCUGUCAGGUAGAGUUUGCAAAUAGUCAUGUUAUCACGACACAU